rnacentral:sRNA from 1 species
UUAAAAACAAAAAUUGUUUUAUUAAAUAUUGUCAAUUUUUGCAGAUGACAUAAUUAAACCACUAAGCAAAGUCCUAGAAGCUUUUUGUGGGUUUGAGCAUUACUUUAAAACUAGAUUUUAAUCCGCGGUAUAUCGCGGGGACAAUUUAUUUUUUAAAUUAGUAUAUAUAAAAGUUUACAAAUUAAAUCUAUUUAUUUUUAUUGUAUAGUUUACAAUUGUUAUUAAGUAACGUCCUGCCAAACCCGUCUCGUCAAAUCCGUCCUGUAAAAAAAACCCGCGGUACACCGCUAAUUUAAAUAUAUAAUUAAAAUAAAUUUUUACGGGAUUGCAAUUGUAUUUUGGUUUGUCAAACAAAUAUUUGUUUUAAAUAGUUGCCAAAAUCUAGUUCAAAUUUUGGAGAAAAAAGAUUUAUUGGAUAGAUAAAGAAUGUAUUUAGGUGUGUUUUGCUCAUUUUAAGGGAUUACAAUUAUAUUUUUGUUUGUCAAACAUU